rnacentral:rRNA from 1 species
GCUAGCGGCGGACGGGUGAGUAACACGUGGGCAACCUGCCUCAUAGAGGGGAAUAGCCUUCCGAAAGGAAGAUUAAUACCGCAUAAGAUUGUAGCUUCGCAUGAAGUAGCAAUUAAAGGAGCAAUCCGCUAUGAGAUGGGCCCGCGGCGCAUUAGCUAGUUGGUGAGGUAACGGCUCACCAAGGCGACGAUGCGUAGCCGACCUGAGAGGGUGAUCGGCCACAUUGGGACUGAGACACGGCCCAGACUCCUACGGGAGGCAGCAGUGGGGAAUAUUGCACAAUGGGGGAAACCCUGAUGCAGCAACGCCGCGUGAGUGAUGACGGCCUUCGGGUUGUAAAGCUCUGUCUUCAGGGACGAUAAUGACGGUACCUGAGGAGGAAGCCACGGCUAACUACGUGCCAGCAGCCGCGGUAAUACGUAGGUGGCGAGCGUUGUCCGGAU